CAAAUCACGAUGAGUGGAGCGCACGGAAUAUUUUCGACUGUAGCUGACUAAUGGGUGGAAGAUAACGGAAUUGGUUGGUGGAUGCGGAAAAGCGGACCUAACGUACUCGGCGCCAACGAGGAAAGAAUCGAACACGCGCCCGUUCGCGAACAACGGACAAGCAGCAGCAGCCAAAAAAACUACCGCCGACGUGACGCGAGAGGGAGCUUAUUUUGCCGGAUGAGAGCGCGCCAGCAUGAGAGCGAGAGUGUACUGUUGUUGUGACUUGUAAUAAAUAAGUGUGCUUAUGUAUGUAUGUA
rnacentral:sRNA from 1 species